rnacentral:rRNA from 1 species
UACGGGGGGGGCAAGCGUUGUUCGGAAUUACUGGGCGUAAAGGGCUCGUAGGUGGCCAACUAAGUCAGACGUGAAAUCCCUCGGCUUAACCGGGGAACUGCGUCUGAUACUGGAUGGCUUGAGUUCGGGGAGAGGGAUGCGGAAUUCCAGGUGUAGCGGUGAAAUGCGUAGAUAUCUGGAGGAACACCGGUGGCGAAGGCGGCAUCCUGGACCGACACUGACACUGAGGAGCGAAAGCCAGGGGAGCAAACGGG